CUCGAGUGCAAGAAUCUUGACUUCUACAGCGUCCUCGUCUCCGCUUUGAAUUAAAACUUGCAAUAACUCCUUUUAUCUACAUAUUCAGUGGUGAUAGUGGAGCCGGAAAGACCGAGACAGCAAAAAUAACAAUGCAAUACUUGCCUGCUCUUUGUAUCUAACUAUUAUUUUAACAUCUGCAACUCCUUUGAAUCGAUGUGAUGCUUCUGGCUUGGCCCGUUGACCAUACCAUAAACAGUUUUGUUAUAAAAGUCCAGAGUAGUCCAUUGCAAGGAAGGGGAAAAUUCAUAUUAUAUAUUUUUCAACAAU